UGCGUAGGCGGCUCUUUAAGUCAGUGGUGAAAUCUUGCCGCUUAACGGUAAAAUUGCCAUUGAUACUGAAGAGCUUGAGUACAGUUGAGGUAAGCGGAGUGUGUAGUGUAGCGGUGAAAUGCUUAGAUAUUACACAGAACACCAAUUGCGAAGGCAGCUUACUAAACUGUUACUAACGCUGAUGCACGAAAGCGUGGGGAGCGAACAGGAUUAGAUACCCUGGUAGUCCACGCCGUAAACGAUGCUCACUCGCUGUUUGCGAUACACAGCAAGCGGCCAAGCGAAAGCAUUAAGUGAGCCACCUGGGGAUACGAUCGCAAGGUUGAA
rnacentral:rRNA from 1 species